CGGUGGUGAAACUGCUGAUAAAACCUGCUGCGAGUCUCACUUUCAUCUGUGUGUGCUGCUGGUGUGAGGGCUCCAUCUGCUGAACUCCGCUGGUUUCCUCAUCCUGCUUGUGGCCAAAUCCAACCUCUGCCAAGUCAACAUAAUGACAUCCAUGAAGAUAAACCAAUCUGGGCCAAACCAACUAGUAAAAGAUGGCGAGUGGAGUCAAGAAGUUUGCUGUUGUUCAAUUAAAUUGUGUACCUAAGGGGGAAAUUAUGGCCUGAGUUAAAAAAAAUUGCUAUCAACAACACUCAUUUUCAACAACAGUAUGUUUUUUCCCCUGCCUCUUGGCAGGACUUAACAGUCCAUCCCCCAGUCACGGGGUUGACUGUGGCCUGAAUAAUUUGAGAUAAGUGCAAGGAAAUUGAAUUUCAUAGCAGAUCUUCCAUUUUGAACAGCACUUGCUUGAGACAGAGCUUCUUCUAUAUUUGCAGAUGUAGAGAGUGCAUGGUAACUAUUGCUACUCAAUUUACGUUUCCCAAGAAAUUAGCCAAUUUAAAACAGUUUCUGUUUGAAAAUCUGAACAUCUAUAUCUUUAUUUAUUCACUGUUUUGUUAUGGCCUUUACAAAUAAAUUCAUGAGCCAUUAUCAACAGGUCAUUAUUCAUAUUAAUCAUGCUAACAUAGGUCUCUGAAUCACUGCUUUAAUGUUAUGGCACAAGUUGUUCAAAUUAUAUAAAAUGAUAUACGUAGGAACUCAUAGCUGAAAGUAAGUGCCAAUUUUGAGAAGUACUCAAAAGUUACUGAAGAACAGAAGUUAGAGCAGUUGUAAAUUGUCGCUUUCCAUUCAUGGCUCUAAAGUUGAAUGCUGUACUUUGAUGUUAGGGAUAUAUUUGUCACCAUGCAAAUAUUUAAAGUGCCUGAUAGCUGAUUAUGAAACAGAAUAGCCUUGAUGAAAUUUUGAUACAAAAAUGGGAAAGUUCCACAGUGAUUCAUUCAGAAAUGUUUACAUUCACAUUAUAAGCUGUCAUGAACAGAUAUUGAUUUUGCAUAAAAUUUACAAGAAUUUUUUUCUAAUUUAAAGGUCCAAUGUGUGUGAUUUAGUGGCUUUUAGCAGUGAAAUUGCAGUUUGCAACCAUUUUAAUACCGCUUGUGUCGCCCUCCCAUUCCAAGCGUGUAGGAGAAACUACGGUGGCCGCGAAACUCGCGAAAGGCCUAGAGCCAGUGAUUGGUUUGUCCCUUCUGGACUACUGUAGAAACAGUACCCGUGGAAGGGUACCCGCUCCCUAUUUAGAUAAAAACGGCUUAUUCUAAGGUAAUGAAAACACAUCUAAUCUUAUUUGCAGUUGAUUGUACACUAAUAAAAACAUACUUAUGAAUAUUAUAUUCCAUUUCUGCCAAUAGCUCCUCCUAAAUGUUACACACUGGACCUUUAAUUAACAAAAGAACACAAUACAGAUUCAGUAUACAGGGGAUAGUAUACAAAUAGAACAACAACAAAACAACCAGGGGUAUAUUAAAAUUUAAACCAAUAUCUAACAGAAUAGUGAUCAGUUAUUAAUUAACAGGAUGGAUGAAGUUGGCACCAAUAUUUGUGUUUCUGUGAACACGUCAUCAUCAGAUGUCAACAGAGCUCUCCCUUCUUAUCUUUACCCCUCACACUAUUUCUACACUGUCUCUGCCGUCAUAAGGGCAGUGCCUCUGCUGGGUAGCGUGUGAGUGUUUGGAUCUGUGUGUGAACGUGUCAGCCUACCUCUCUGUGUGUAUGAUUGACUGGAUCAUAGAGACAGGGAUGAUCAUUAGACCCCUCAGUAAAAAAAUCCCCACCUUACAGUACAAUGAGAGUAUGAGCGAGAUGCUGUGGAAAAGUCAUCCUCAAAAUCUUGUCACCAGACGUUCAUAGAGACGCAAUUUUUGAUAGAAUCCCCAAGAGGAUUUUAAAAACAGAAAGCCAGAACAGUGAAGAAGGGAGAAGACACAUAUGGCAUACAUGGGUAGGACUCCAAGGUGGAGUUUUGUGGCCAGUAGGGCUCACUCCUCUUCCAGUCACAGGAAGCCAGUAGGAAUGAGAGGAAUGCAGUCAGGCAAUAUGGUGAUGGAGGGAGCAGCAGUUGCAGGGCAGAUUGCCAAAAUGAGUGAAAGAAAAGGAGGGAGUCAGGGGAAAGAUAGUGAGAGUGAGAAAGUGAUUAGAGAGUGGAAAAGGCUGGGAUGCGAAUAAUUAAGAUGCACAAUUGGGCAAAAGCCAACAUUUGGAUGCCUCCAGAGCCGCGUAGACACACUCAUACCAAAACAAACGCCCAGCGGCGGCUUUUGUAGUUGCAUAUGGUGCGAGUGUAAUUGUUCUUUCUGAUAUUGACAGCUUGAUGUGGAUAAUGUGCGUGAUAUAUGAGGAGUCACUGAUGCCACAGUACAUUACUGUGACCCGUGGAAUGUGUGAGUUAUCAGUCAGAUUUCCUGGUAACGGGUAGAGGGUGGGGGUCCAGGGGAUCAUCCUACCUUACAAACACACACGUAUACACACUCAUUCAGAGACAUGCACUGACAUGUAGGCAGCACACAGACAUACAACACAGCCAUGCAUGCAGCCGACUUUCCACCUAUUUAACUCUUUCUUUCUUUUGAGUUCAUCUCUUUCAGUUUGACUAUGUAACUGCCCUUUUCUAACCACUAUGUCAGUUGUUCUUUUUUGUGUUUGUAGUCAAGGCAAGUUAAUUUUCUAUCAAAAAUCACAAUUUGUCUUAAAGAUAUUUACAAUAUGUACAACAUACCAAACCCACCUAUCCUUAGACCCUAGUUUCAGAUGAGGAAUCUCCACAAAAAAAACUUUAUGAGGAAAAGAGAGAUACCUGUUUCAGGACUGACAGACAGGAAAUUGGUGUUGUAUAUAUAGACAGAAUUAGUAGUAGUAGUGUGGUAUGUGAAAGGGUCGUUUGUAGUGAUGAACCCACAGAGAAUAAAAGAGAUCUCUAUCUCUAAAGAGAGUUUUAGCUUUUUUAGCUCAUUAUUUUAGUUUUUACUGCAACUUUACUGUUUACUGUUUAAUUACUAUGCUUCAGUCUCACUGCUCUCAUCAACCCUGUUUCCAGCAGCAGCAGGCAGCUUUUUUUUAAGUUAGCGACUAGCUGGUGAACAUAGUGGAGCAUUUAGCAGCUAAAGAGCCAGAACCCUCACGAGUUGGUGGAGACCAAAACAUGUUCGCCUCAACAACUUGUCAAGGUGAUAAUAUGUCAUUGUUAUGUUUACAGCUUGUUCCACUGCCCCAAAGUGGCCCAAAAAAAAUCAGUUAAUGCUGCUUUCAAACACCAGUUAAUGUGGAAUGCAAAAAAGAGAAAAGAAAUUCAACUAAACUAAGAAUCUACAGAUCAUUGCCUUGUUGUAUGCAUAAAAGAAAAAAGUUCCAUUACAUAUGUAAAAUAGUGGUUGUGGAAAUGCGUCAUUUUUUUUUGUUUUCACACACUAUACAUUAUACACUUUAUAAUAAAGACCAUUGCACGUGUUCAGGUUGGCCCCGCUAAGCUCUAGUAAGCAGCUAUGUGGUAACUUUGAACUGAGAAGGCGCUGGAGGCUGCUCGCAGCGGUGGGUAGCCUCUAAAGCCUUUCCAUUCCCAACUGCAAAGCAAAGUCAACCCACAGAGGGGAUAGAUAGCACUCAGCGCUCGCCUAGUUUCUCUGGAAACUGACUGUGAUGCUGGAAAGUGUUGCUUUACAACGCCUUCACACACCUGUGUGCGCACGUGUUGAAAAGGUCAAAACAUAGAAUUCAGAACAGUGUGCACCCCUUUGAAAAGGUUUGUGACAUGCCAUUUAAAGUACUAAACAUGUCAAACUGAACAAACCUGCGUGGUGGGGAUUUCACUGGAGCUGCUGUACUUAAUGCUCAUUUUGAAAAAAUCUUAUGAUGUCUGUUGUUUAUUAGACUGUAGACAAAUUAAGAACUUUUAUUGGGUUUAAACGUCCAAUAGCCAAAUGAGAGAAACAAAAUAUUUUCUAAAAUCCUUGUGCCAUUUAGCUCAUGGCCUGGAUGGUAAUGUAAACAGAAAGCAAUGUGGAAAAGACAACUUAUCAUUAACAUUUACUUUAUAUUUCCUGGUAAAAAUGGUUUCCAUCUCUGUACAGUAAUCUAGUGAAACCGCGUCCUCCAUGACAAAAUUUUUCUGACAGUUUUUCCCUGUACAAUUAAACCUCCUCAUGGCAGUUACAUAAAACUUAGGUCAGAUUCCUGCAGUAAAAAUACUUUUCCACAAGGUGGUGGUACUCCAAUAAAUGAGUGCAUCUAUUGUUUGUUAUCAAAACACAUACAACAACUAGCUCAGGUGUAAGACUUCCAUCCACUAUUGGCCACUCAUUAGUAUCAUGCACAACCACUAAUCUCAAGUUUCUUCUUCAACCCUUUAUAGUGCUCACUUGACCUGAGUUGGCAGCCUCUGCUGUGAUGAAAACCCCGCUCAAGACCAGAGAGGACUUAAUGAGAGCUUUAGGCACAAAAUGAAGUCUGAAGUCUCUACAUGCAACAUACUGACAGGGUGGCCACAGGGCUGCUGAGGAGGUCGACAGGUGUCCCCCUGCCUCCAGCUGUGAUCAGAAACAUCCUCUGUGGUUUUUACUGAGAAAAUGCCUCGCUGCAGAGGCGUGAACUCACAGCUUCAAACCAUAGAGCUGCUCACUUUACACACACGUUCAAACUGUAUCGGACUGAUUACACAGUGUAAUGUAGUGGUACAUCAACAUCACAUUGUACAUACACUCACAUCAUACAUAUCCUACAAGCAUACAAGCAUCACAACACACAUACACACAGGGCAACACUACCACUUUUACCUAAGGUGACCGGUUUGCACAGCCACUGCAGAAAAACCCAUGAGCAGACACACUCACACACCUAGUAGCACACUUUAAUAUGAAACGUGUACUUUGGUUUAUCCACAAACCUGUUCAUCUGACACGUGUGUGUGUGUGUGUGUGUGUGAACUCCGUCAAGCCCGAGAUGUUAAAUGCUCAGGAAACCACAGAGACACUCGGCUCAAGGACCACACAAUGACAUUUAAGAUCAUAUUUACACACACACACAAACACAUGUAAUGAGCACGUACUAGUCAGGUGGCUACUUUUCUCCUCGAUGUUUAAACUUUAUAUUUACUGCAGUACUAUAUAUCUAGACAAGUAUACUGUACUCAUAGUGCUACUAAUGCAAUAUAUGAUGCAAGUUUUCAGUGUUUGUUUUCUGACACAUUACCAGAUAGAUUCAUUGUUACUGUUAUGUGACCAGUGUUUUUCUUUCAUUUCACACUAUAUGUUGUCAUCUAUUUUAUGGAAAAUAUAUGCUGAAGUGUAAACCAGACUAAGACUUUUGCCCUGUUUGUAUGUGUGUUAUGAGGCUGUACUAUGAUGCUUUGAGCUAAAUGCUAAUGUCAGCAUGCUGAUGUUCAGCAGGUAUAGCGAUUAUCAUUUUCACAUGCCAACAUUUGCUAAUUAGCGCUAAACACAAAGUACAGCUGAGGCUGAUGGGAAUGUCAUUAGUAUUUGGUAACAAAACAAGGUACUGGACAAACUUUUUGAACUGAUAGUGGCGUUAGAUGAUUGGUCAGGAGAUCAAAGGUAUUACAAUCCAGCCUGAGGGGAACAUGAAUGUCUGAACUAAAUUUUGUGUCAAUCCCUUGAGUAGAUGUUGAGAUAUAUGACCUGCUGGUGGGGUUAGAUAAAAAGUCAAUAGAAGUCAUCCUCUAGGGACCAUGAAUGUCAAUUCAAAGUUCCAGAGCAAUCCAUUCAGUAUUGUUAAGAUAUUUCAAUCUGGACCAAAGUGGUGCACCGACCGACACUGCCAUCCCUUGAGCCAUGUCGCUAAAAAUGUACAUGACAUAUAAUCAGUGUAAACAGUGAUCAAGUAAAGUCAAGUCAAUUUUAUGUAUAUACCCCAAAAUCACAAAUUUGCCUAAAAGGGAUUUACAAUAUGUACAGCUUACGACACUGUCUAUCCUUAGACCUUAGUAUGUGCAGAGCAGACAGAAAAACAAUAGUAAACAGUGAUUAAUUCUUGUUGUACAUUCUGGAUGAAGUAUGUACAGGGUGGAUACAGGGAAUGACAGGUAUUUAUUGUAAGACAACUUACCAGCUUGAGACACUGACUGUAUGGUGAGUGUGAAUCAUGAAAGUGGUGAACUUUGCUGCAAUCUCAAAAGAUUCUUACUGACUUAAGGAACUUGUUCUCAAUUUCAUUUUCAACACUGAAAACUUUCACACAUUUUCUAAACAUCAAAUAGGUGCAAGACUUUCUCUGGUUUUCAGACUAAGUAACAACUCAUCUUGGUACUACAUGGACUAUUUUCAACCUUGGGCUACAUGAAUUGUAAGUAAACAACAAACAGAAAACAAUGCUGAGAAGAUUGUCAAAAAUAAGGUGAUUCUAUCCAUCCAUUUCCAUAUGUGCGCACAUGUCAUCAGAAAAAAACAACUGAAACCUCUCUUUGUCAUUACAAGCUCAGGAAUUUGUUUUUCAACCACGUAGGAUUUUACCUAAACUCAGAAACGUCAGGUUGUUGAUUUUGUUCUGAUUAGAGUAGAUCCUUUUUCCGACCAUUAUUUAUCCAAAAAUGUUCUGCUGUGUUUGCAGGAUUUUUUUUUUUUAUAGCACUGUCCUACUUUUAAUUCUCACAGAUACACACACAUUUAGGUCUGGUGCAACCAGUCUAAUACUGUUCCAGUGGAGCAUCUCAGGCCUUAAAUGUCUCGCUCAAGGACACACUGGUAGCAGUUUGUUCACUUUCACUGUCAGAUUUCCCCAGUUCUUCUGUAGAAUGAAACCAGUGACCUUUUGUAUGCAACUAUGCAGUUUUAGGAAAUGAGCUGAAAAACACAACAAAAUUACUUUGAAGUCCAACUGCUCCAAAAAAUAGAAUGUGAUACUUUCAACCAAAUGGAGCAAAAUCCUCAUUAUAUUCAUGCCUUUGAGCUCACUAUACAGUAAGAAGAUGUGAUGCUUGCUGGGCUCCUGGAAGUCUGCAUAACAGCAGAAAAAAAAAUGUUAUCUAUAUAAAAUCUAAUCUAAUUUAUAAACUUACCUCAGAGAUUUAUAAAAAUUAAGAAGGGAAGUAAAGAGGUAAAAAAUACAAUCAUAAAGCAAUAAUAGUGUUCAGACAAAUAGCUAAUACAAGAAAAAUAAGUGAAAAGUGUGUAUUUUAGAUGAUGGAGUUUACAUGUGCUCUGGGCACAGUUCAUCAGUAAUUUUGACUUCUACACAAAUAUGUAUUUAACUCAUAAAUACCUCAAUGAACGGAAACCACAAUUUAAGUUGAAUCUGUGUUUAUUUGCACACACCUUAGAAAUAAAUCAGCACUUCUUCCAACUUUCCAAAUGAAAAAAUUAAAUCAGGGCCAUUACAGAAACCACAUGACUUAAGUGGCUAAAAAGUGAAUAAACACAGUGGCAUGCUGUGUGUGUGUGUGUGUGCUGCACUGAGAGUAUAAAUAUAGGGCACGGGAAAACAUGGAGGAAAUGUUUGGCCGUUAAUGCGAAUUUGCAGCCAUUAUUUUCCAAGAAGAACACUUCUUUACACACACACACACACACACAUUGCUUCUUCCAGCUCUGCCCUCUUCCUUUUCCCUGGAAAGUAAGGAGGGCACAAGAUGUUUUUCUUUCCUCAUUGAAACAAUGUCCAGCUCAGGAAAAAGAGGAUUAAAAAAGCUAAUUCUUUUUCAUAGUGUAAUUAACAUUUUUUUUCUUAAAACAAUUGUAAAAUGUGAUGUUCCACAUACAUUUCCCAGCUUUGUAAUAAUAACCAAUAAGAUUAUUCACACUGCCCUGCACUGAGUCAAUCCUUGCAUGCAAUGCUACUGUUAGCAGUGAAGGACUGAUUUAUGCCUGCUGAGUACUACACCUCAGAAAACGCAGGUUUAUUGAUGUUCUGUUGUAUGUAUUUUCUGUCUCUCUCCACCUUCCUUCAGCUCUAUGAGAGCAGAGAAUGUUAUUUUGCCCCAUGGAGGGCCUGAGAGUAGAGAAACAUCCACGGGCCAUGCAUGCGUUCCACACAUUCUGAACCAAAACCACAUGGUGGGUUUAGUCCUAAUGAUAUUUGGAUGACUUGCAUAAAGGGCAUCCAACAUCCAAUCUAGAUAAGUGGGCACAGAAUCAAUAGAAAAGAGGAAAAAAGGGUGCUCUCUCUUUCGCCCCGUAGGCUCACACACACAGACAUUCAAUGCAUAGCAUGAGCUUCACAUUACUGAUCCGACUGUAUCGUUUUUUGCUUUGCCUUCUCAUCGCGACUGGCUGUUUAGUUUGAAAUAAAACUCUCUCUCUCUCUCUCUCUCUCUCUCUCUCUGUCUAUCUCACACACAGACGUACAAGAGAUAUGCACACAGAAAACAACACGCCCUUGUUAUUACUGGAAAGUCACAACUGACAUCCCCCUGCAGGCGGCUAUGUGCCAACUGAACAGUCAUACCCCAAGCUGGGGCGCAAAAAUAAAACACUCCUUAUUAUGCCAGGGGCACUCUUAGCAAAACACAGUUAUAUUAUUAUACUUAUUAUAUUAUACAUUUCCUACAGAGGCUGUGGUCUAUUAUUGUGCACAGCUGCAGUAUCAGUCUCUGAUAAUAUGAGGGCACCACUUGUUAGUAUUUAUACCCCAUAGACAGAAAUAAAUGCCUUCGAGGACCACCCUAUUAUGCUUGUGCACUGGGGCCACUCAGCAUUGCGUGUGUACGUCUUUAUCUGGUACCCAUGACUAGUCUGUGCCUCACCCAAAAACCUAACGAAGUCGCGUAGUGCCAUUCCAAGAAACUGUCCUGGUGCAACCCUGGUCACUGAGCGUGCAUUCUGGUGCCCCAAAAAGGCGCGCAGCCAGAGGUGAAAUGAUAAUGAGAUUUUCUUUGCAUAUUAUUUGUAAUCACACCUUUGUCACAUUAUGUAGAAUGUAAUUGUCAUUCAGAGGGGGAAAAAAAACACACAACAGUGACAUGUUUAAAUUUUAGAAUCUGGAAUCAGAUUUGUAAGUGAAGGAUUUAUUGAACAAGAACUUUAAAGCUGCAUUAAUUGAUUGUUUGGCCAUGUAGGAGUGGCAAAACAAGCUGUAAAUCAAACAUUGACAUAUUAUCACCUUAUAAAGUUAUUGUGGUACACGUUUUAGCCAACAGUUGCCUAUUUACACAUAUAGCAGACACAGAGCAACAUUAGCAUUCAUUGGG